AGGAUGGAUCUGCGGCCUAUCAGGUUGUAGUGGGUGUAAUGUACCUACUACCCUACGACGGGUACAGGUUGUGGAAGCAAGAGCCCGGAGAUGGAUUCUGAGACAUGAAUCCAGGCCCUACGGGGCGCAGCAGGCGCGAAAACUUUACAAUGCGGGAAACCGUGAUAAGGGAACACUGAGUGCUAGCAUUUAUGUUAGCUGUCCACAUGUGUAAAUAGCAUGUGAUAGCAAGGGCUGGGCAAGACCGGUGCCAGCCGCCGCGGUAACACCGGCAGCCCGAGUGGUGAUCACUAUUAUUGGGUCUAAAGGGUCCGUAGCCGGUUUAAUCAGUCUUCUGGGAAAUCUAAUCGCUUAACUAUUAGGCUUCCAGGGGAUACUGUUAGACUUGGGACCGGGAGAGGUAAGAGGUACUGCAGGGGUAGGAGUGAAAUCUUGUAAUCCCUGUGAGACCACCAGUGGCGAAGGCGUCUUACCAGAACGGGUCCGACGGUGAGGGACGAAAGCUGUGGGCACGAACCGGAUUAGAUACCCGGGUAGU
rnacentral:rRNA from 1 species